AUGACGGAGGAGGUGCAUCUGGGCCUGCCGGGGCCCUGGGCGGAGGACUACCGGGAGAAGGCCGACCACUACACCACCAAGAUCGGCGGGGUCCCUGAUUGGCCAACGGGGGAUAUAAGCACUGAACCGGAGUUGCUUCAUUGCAGAUUGUGUGGAACCAGGCUCUGCCUUGUUGCUCAGGUUUAUGCUCCUCUUGCGAAGCUUAACAUUGAAGAGAGGACACUGUAUGUGCUUGUUUGCCCGGCGCCAAAAUGCAGCCCUAACCCCCAAAGUUGGAAGGUCCUAAGGGUUCAGAAGUGCCAUACUGGUAUGCAAUCAAAUGAUAAUGGGGAUGGGUCAGUCCAAAAUAUAGAAAAGGUUUGCUCAAAUGAGCCAACUCCUUCAUGUUCUGCGGGAAAACAUAACGAAGAAGCAAACAAGAGUUCCAACAGCAAUGAUGAUGAUUUUGAUUUUGAUGCCUUGGCUGCAGCACUCGAGCAGGCUGCAACAGUGGCAUCCAACACAAAGAAGAAAAACAAAUCAAAGCGUGCUAAUAAUGUCCCUAGAAAAUGCGUUGUAGUGAAAGAGAAAGUAAAUGACCUCAGUAUACCAGUUCUUCCUUGUUUCUAUAUCUAUUACGAUACGGAGCAAUCGAGGGGAAAAACCAGUGUAGGUUGUAGUAGCUAUGAAAAACUUUUGGCAGAAGAGAUAAUGGACAUGGGUAAUGAUGAAGAAGAAAAAUGGGAAGGAGAAAAGUAUGAAUAUGAUAAAGCUCCUGGGGCCGACAGAACUUUCUUAAAAUUUAAGAAACGGUUGGAUGCAUAUCCUCAACAAUGCUUUAGGUAUUCUUGUGCUGGUAGUCCACUGUUGGCUACAACUAACUCACAAGAUGUUGGCACAUGUAAGCUUUGUGGUUCACGAUACCAAUAUGAACUUCAACUGAUGUCCCCAUUAUCAUAUUUUCUCGACCAAGCUGGUGAUGGUUCCUCAAAUUGUGCACCUAAUGCCUGGACUUGGCUGACUCUUGUUAUCUACACUUGCUCCAAGAGUUGCUGUCCUUCGUCUUGUUGUGGGAAACAGGGCAAUUGCUGCUGGGGAGUAGUGGAGGAGGAGAUAAUGAUGCAGGAGGAUGAAGCAUGUAACGCGUGA
rnacentral:rRNA from 1 species